rnacentral:misc_RNA from 1 species
GUUUUAGCAACAAGAGUGUCUUGAGUUCAAGAAAUAAAUCUCUUUGUUUUCCUUCUGUUUGCUUUCUUAUGUAUUAAGUUAAUAAAUUAGAUAGAGCUUCCAUUGUGAUAUCUAUUCACAACAAUAAGAUACAAUUUUGCCGUGAAAUAGUUGAAAUUAGUUUGUUUUAUAUGUUGGGGUUCAUGUUCCGAUUCUAUCAUGUAAUUGCUUACAGGAAUGGGGAGAUCGC